AGGUGGAGGGUCUGCAGAGUUCCAUCCCGCUGUUCCUCCAUCAUCUUUGAAGCUUGCUGGCUGCCAGCAAGCUUCAUUUCGAGCCAAUCAGACAGAAUCCUGGACAGGAAAUGAUGUGUUUACUAUUCCACGAGUCAGAUCCUCAACAGACUGCUGCGCCGGAGCGCUCGGAGCCAGCGCCUUCAAUUUGAAGCGAGGGUCCACGAAGCAAGGAGCUGCCGGGAAACCUCUCAUCUGUCUCUUCAGCUGCCGGCGCACCGCUACCACAUCACGCCACCUAUUUGGACAGAUAAGUAGACAAAAGAAAAUGGAGCCAAAUGUCAUCGAUUUGCGCAAGCUUCGACUUUUCGUACCUUUUGAUGUACUUGCGAGCGCGCUGCAGCUCAGCCGUGAGCAUUUCUUCGACUAGCAGAGCAAUGUCUGCUUUCAAAGUGUCCUCAAUGAAACUAGUGCAGACUUCUUGAGAACAUUUAGCGAUACAGCGUGCUUUCUCAUCCACCGCUUGCCUGAAAAGGAUGAAAUCUGUCAUUCGGUUCCCAAAGUAGGGCGAAACCAUCUUGAAAAAGAAUCGCCAAUGCAAUUCCCAUUGAAUAUGUGACUGAGCCUUACCGGAAGACCGCGGCGGCAAUCUCCUUGAUAGUCUCAUCUAAUACUUCCUGCGUGAUCUCUGCGAACAAAGAGAGCCUGAACUUGGACAAAAGGUUCUCGAGCUCCUGUCUCCGCCUGAAACAGAGAGAGCCACCCGUUCGUUUGUCUUGUGAUCACAGCACCAGAAAAUGGGUAUUUUGGUGAAAGCAUUAAGGAAGUCAAUUUAAAUGAGAUUUAAAGAGGACAAUAGUGGACGAACCUUGCUUCCUCAAUCCUGCGUUGCUCUUCAGCGACACGCUCUUGUUCCAGAAGGAUCUGGCUAGAAGACAAUUCUUGUAGCACUUCACCUAAAACUUCAUUCAGUACGGACUCUGCCUGCACGCUGCUCUCACUGCAGAUAUAGUAUUGAAAAAAAAUAGAUUCACCGUUAUCAGGAGAAAAUUGUAGCAGGGCACAGUCAGUUUCCCCGCUUUCAAAAGAAUCUUUCAAUAUGCAUGACAAAUUAUGCAAACUUACACAAGUGCUGCUGCGGCAUAAGCGGCACCGUCAGCAGCUACCGCUCUUGCCGAUGUCUCAACCAUUUCGUCAAUCAAACAGUCCACUUCGGCCGUAAUGUCCUGGGCAUAGAGGGAGGGGGGGGGGGAAAAAACCCCCAAAAAAAACAGCCCCCGUUACAUGAAAUCUGACCUAUGAAACUAAGAAAGUCAAAUCUUUUUCCCACCUCAUCGCUGAACGCUGGUUGAGGUGACGGUGCUUUGACAGCGGGAGGCUGCGCUACAGGCUGGAGGAGCUGCGCUGCUUCAGCUUGGAGGGCCACGUUUGGGAAAGAAAUGCUGGACUCGGUCUUCUCUGCUCUCAGCCCAAAAACAUUGGGGACAUCAGGUGAAACUUGGGUCUGGAAUUGGAUGCUGGGCGGGGCCUUCACUUCUACUUUGGCAGCAAUAGCUAAAGAAACGAAAGCAAAAUCGAUGACGAGACGGCAAAGGUUUCCAGUAGAAUCAAUCCAUGCGUUGGGGUGACAAUACCUUUCAAUUGAUUGGGUGCAGACUCAGUCAAGGGGCCUUCUCCUCUGUAUUUGUUGUAAGAGUCAAAGGUGCAGACAGGUUUGUGCUGAGGGGGAUUGGGGAGGGGGCCUCCAUUCACCACUUCCCCAGUCGAUGUUGUUUUCUUAGCCUGAAUGACCUGAGACUUCUUCUGGGAUAGCACCUCCGGCUCCUGAUAGGCUACCCGAUUCAGAUCCACCACACUGUCAACACAACGUGGAACAGGAAAAGCAGUUGAGCGCGGACCCACGGUGUGAGCAGCGUUCAAGGUCUUCAAUCCUUUUGCUCGGACCUGCACAUUGUUUUACAAAGUAAAGGCAAUUAAUGGUUGCACCUCUUUGUCUUUGAUAGUCCUACGUAAUAAGCAAGUGAAAGUGCAUCUCUGUCACUUGACUAAAAAUGGUUAUUGGAU